rnacentral:tRNA from 1 species
ACCUAGAUGGCUCAGUCAGUUGAGCAUCUGACUUCAGCUCAGGUCAUGAUCUCACGGCUCGUGGGUUCAAGCCCCGCAUCAGGCU